AACAGCUAAAAUAGCUAAAUGAUCUUUCACAAUACACAAUUUUUAAGAAGUGUCCCUUUAACACGGGGAUAAUUUUUCCACUGUGAUUUUGCAGAAAGCCUGGCAAACGUCGGGAGGCAGCAGCCCAGGGCAAGCCCAGGAGGGAGCAGGAAUCGCUGGGAUCCGUCUCCAUCGCAGUCUAUCGACACAGAAGGAGAAGGAAGGCAGCAGUUUGCACACUAGUGAUCAGUCCUUCGGUGAAGUACGCGUGUUCAUAACACUGAACAAGAGGGGCAAUAUUUCAAGCAGCACUCGUUGACUCCACAAAGCACAGCUGGCUCAAAGCAAAUACGGGCAGGACCGACACGCAGGAGCUGACCAAUAUCCAUGUUUCCAUCCUUUCCUACCAUCGAACUGCAAUUGUCUAAAUUAAUCAACUUCCACACCUCUUCCUAAGAGGACACAGCGUUAGUUGAAACUCUAUCACCCCAGGAACUGCGAUUUUAAAGAACAGCUGUUAAACUUCAG
rnacentral:lncRNA from 1 species